GACAGAGGGUGCAAACGUUGCUCGGAAUCACUGGGCGUAAAGGGCGUGUAGGCGGGGAGGAUAGUCAGAUGUGAAAUCCCCAGGCUCAACCUGGGAACUGCAUUUGAAACUCCCUUUCUUGAGUAUCGGAGAGGAAAGCGGAAUUCCUGGUGUAGAGGUGAAAUUCGUAGAUAUCAGGAGGAACACCAGUGGCGAAGGCGGCUUUCUGGACGGUUACUGACGCUGAGACGCGAAAGCGUGGGGAGCAAACAGG
rnacentral:rRNA from 1 species